rnacentral:rRNA from 1 species
ACCCGCUGAACUUAAGCAUAUCAAUAAGCGGAGGAAAAGAAACCAACAGGGAUUGCCUCAGUAACGGCGAGUGAAGCGGCAACAGCUCAAAUUUGAAAUCUGACUUUCGGGUCCGAGUUGUAAUUUGUAGAGGAUGUUUCGGGUAAGAUCUAGGUCUAAGUUCCUUGGAACAGGACGUCAUAGAGGGUGAGAAUCCCGUACGUGGCCGAGGAUCGCACCCAUGUGAAACUCCUUCGACGAGUCGAGUUGUUUGGGAAUGCAGCUCAAAAUGGGUGGUAAAUUUCAUCUAAAGCUAAAUAUUGGCCAGAGACCGAUAGCGCACAAGUAGAGUGAUCGAAAGAUGAAAAGCACUUUGAAAAGAGAGUUAAACAGUAUGUGAAAUUGUUGAAAGGGAAGCGCUUGCAACCAGACUUGUUUGUAGGGUUCAGCCGUCGUUUUCGUCGGUGUAUUUCCCUGCUAUCAGGCCAGCAUCGGUUUGGGUGGAAGGUUAAAGGCCUGGGGAAUGUAGCACUCUUCGGGGUGUCUUAUAGCCCUGGGUGUCAUGCUUCCUACCCGGACCGAGGAACGCGCUUCGGCUCGGAUGCUGGCGUAAUGGUUCUAAGCGACCCGUCUUGAAACACGG